AUUGAACGCUGGCGGCAGGCUUAACACAUGCAAGUCGAACGAGUGGCGGACGGGUGAGUAAUGCUUGGGAAUCUAGCUUAUGGAGGGGGAUAACUACGGGAAACUGUAGCUAAUACCGCGUACCAUAGGAUGAGCCCACGUGGGAUUAGGUAGUUGGUGAGGUAAAGGCUCACCAAGCCGACGAUCUCUAGCUGGUCUGAGAGGAUGACCAGCAACACGGGGACUGAGACACGGCCAAGACUCCGACGGGAGGCAGCAGGGGGGAAUAUUGCGCAAGGGGGGAAACCCUGACGAAGCAAUGCGGCGUGUAUGAAGAAGGCCUUCGGGUUGUAAAGGACUUGCAGUCGGGAGGCGUUACCGACAGAAGAAGCACCGGCUAACUCCGUGCCAGCAGCCGCGGUAAUUC
rnacentral:rRNA from 1 species